GAUGAACGCUGGCGGCGUGCCUAAUACAUGCAAGUCGAGCGAACAGACGAGGAGCUUGCUCCUCUGACGUUAGCGGCGGACGGGUGAGUAACACGUGGAUAACCUACCUAUAAGACUGGGAUAACUUCGGGAAACCGGGGCUAAUACCGGAUAAUAUAUUGAACCGCAUGGUUCAAUAGUGAAAGACGGUUUUGCUGUCACUUAUAGAUGGAUCCGCGCCGCAUUAGCUAGUUGAUAAGGUAACGGCUUACCAAGGCAACGAUGCGUAGCCGACCUGAGAGGGUGAUCGGCCACACUGGAACUGAGACACGGUCCAGACUCCUACGGGAGGCAGCAGUAGGGAAUCUUCCGCAAUGGGCGAAAGCCUGACGGAGCAACGCCGCGUGAGUGAUGAAGGUCUUCGGAUCGUAAAACUCUGUUAUUAGGGAAGAACAAAUGUGUAAGUAACUAUGCACGUCUUGACGGUACCUAAUCAGAAAGCCACGGCUAACUACGUG
rnacentral:rRNA from 1 species